rnacentral:rRNA from 1 species
AUGUGCCUGUCAAAGAGAGAGGGAGGCAUGGGGUUUAGAAAUUAUGAAGCUUUUAACCAGGCCCUCCUCGGCAAGCAAGCCUGGAGGAUCUUGCAAGUCACAAAAUCCCUAUGUGCUAGGGUUUUACGAGCUAGAUAUUUCAAAGAAUCGUCGAUUAUGAGUGCCACAUGCCCAGCCAAUGGAUCCUUCACCUUCAGGAGCAUC